AAUAAAUUAAUAACCACGUGGAUGCAUGCCCACAAUUUAUAAACACAAAAAGCGCUGUUUUAGGCACUAACGACGUAAAAGCUAACACAACAAUAGUCGCUAAACUCACCCCCAAAAUAGCCACCUUUUCAAAUUCCUUCACAAACAUCCAACUGAAAAGAAGAAAAGGGUUGUCGCAAUAGAACAGAUUUGGCCAUUAAAUUAUAAUAUUCCCUCACAAAUCAAUGGCCUAAACGCCUUUGCUUUCUCAGGUCCUCAAUUGAAACCACGCUUUAACCCUCAAAUCAAGUCCUUAAAUCGUGUUUUGCCUUUAUUCCUUCUUGUCGUGAUCAUCAGAGAUCAUUCUUUCCUUGGAUCUCUCUCAUCUCAUGCAUCAAUUCAAACAGAGUACGUAUAUCUCUCUUUUUCUCUCUAUAAAAACAUGCAAAUCAGUCAUAAUUGAGAUCAAGACAUACAAAGAAAACACAAAGAAAAAAGUGUUGGGAGGUGAGGAAAAAUGGCUGUGAGUAGUGUUUACAUUACAGCACCAGCUGCUGCUGCUGUGGGGCUCUAUUUGUUUGCCAGAAACCUCCCAAGAAACCUGGCAGGUGGGCGAGAGGUGAAGAACAAUGUGAAGGAUCAGCCAAAGCUGGCUCCAGAGUUUGAUGGUCUGUACUGCUUUGAAACCAUUGUAAGAGACGAGAAGAGGUGUUAAUUCAUAGUGCUAUUUCGCCCUUUCCUUUUUCUCAUUUUGAGAAGAAGAUGAAUGAGAGGUCAAAUUUUGUUCUUGUGUUGGAAGGGUCCUUUUUUAUACCCUUAUUUGGUGUGUUAGAGUUCUUCAAAUACUUGAAGGAAUAUGUGUAUGUAAAUACCUAAUUUACACUUACUUUUCUUGAUA